UACGGAGGGGGCUAGCGUUGGUCGGAAUCACUGGGCGUAAAGCGCACGUAGGCGGACUGAUAAGUCAGGGGUGAAAGCCCAAGGCUCAACCUUGGAAUUGCCUUUGAUACUGUCGGUCUCGAGUCCGGGAGAGGUGAGUGGAAUUCCUAGUGUAGAGGUGAAAUUCGUAGAUAUUAGGAAGAACACCAGUGGCGAAGGCGGCUCACUGGCCCGGUACUGACGCUGAGGUGCGAAAGCGUGGGGAGCAAACAGG
rnacentral:rRNA from 1 species